GCCCGUGGGGGCUGGUCCGCCUUAUGGGUGUGUACUAGUUUCCUCGCGGGCUUACCUCUUGGUGAGCCUGGAUGCUCUUAACUGGGUGUCCAGGGUAACCAGGACUUUUACUUUGAAAAAAUUAGAGUGUUUAAAGCAGGCAUUCGCUUGAAUACAUUAGCAUGGAAUAAUAAAAUAGGA
rnacentral:rRNA from 1 species